rnacentral:rRNA from 1 species
UCUUUCCCGAAAUUCGCCUGUUUUCCAAAAACAUCGCCUCCUGAAUAAUCAUAGGAGGUCCAGCCUGCCCAGUGACAAAGUUAAACGGCCGCGGUACCCUAACCGUGCAAAGGUAGCGCAAUCACUUGUUCUUUAAAUGAGGACUAGUAUGAAUGGCAUCACGAGGGUUAUACUGUCUCCCCCACCUAAUCAGUGAAACUGAUCUUCCCGUGAAGAAGCGGGAAUAGAAUUAUAAGACGAGAAGACCCCAUGGAGCUUUAAACUCAACAUCAACUGCCCUUUAAAUAACUUAUUAACCACGCAAAUCUGACAGUUAGUUUUCGGUUGGGGUGACCGCGGAGUAAAACAAAACCUCCACGAUGAAAGGAAUUAACCUCCUAAUCUAAGAGCUACAGCUCUAAGAAUCAACAAAUUGACAAAACUUGAUCCAAAUAUUUUGAUCAACGAACCAAGUUACCCUGGGGAUAACAGCGCAAUCCAUUUCAAGAGCUCAUAUCGACAAAUGGGUUUACGACCUCGAUGUUGGAUCAGGGUAUCCCAGUGGCGCAGCCGCUACUAAUGUCGUGUCAACGUUC